UCACUGAAAUAUAUGACAAGCAAUUUCCAUGGCAACACGCGAGCUAUAAUCUAGUCUACUUUAGGGACAUAGUAUUACGUAAUGCAUAUCUUGAUCCAUGCGAUGGUUAGGUAUUUGGAAAAGAAGAUUCCUAGUGUGAACAACAAUUAUAGUGAAGAAAGGGGAACACAUGAUAAUCAAACUUAAGCACUCAUAAAAGAGUUUGAAAAUGCAAUAAAGUUUCUACUCGUUACACUUCUCCACUUAUCCUGAAAAAGCAAACAAUGUGAC
rnacentral:lncRNA from 1 species